GACGAACGCUGGCGGCGUGCUUAACACAUGCAAGUCGAACGAUGAAGAAAAGAAUUGAAGCUUCGGCAGAAAUUCAUUUCGGAUUAGUGGCAGACGGGUGAGUAACGCGUGAGCAACCUACCUCUUACAAAGGGAUAGCCUCGGGAAACCGGGAUUAAUACCAUAUAACAUUGCGACGAAGCAUUUCGAUGCAAUCAAAGCUACGGCGGUAAGAGAUGGGCUCGCGUCCCAUUAACCAGAUGGUGAGGUAACGGCUCACCAUAGUAACGAUGGGUAACCGGCCUGAGAGGGUGAACGGUCACACUGGAACUGAGACACGGUCCAGACUCCUACGGGAGGCAGCAGUGGGGAAUAUCGCACAAUGGAGGGAACUCUGAUGCAGCGACGCCGCGUGAGUGAUGAAGGAAUUCGUUUCGUAAAACUCUGUUCUAUGGGAAGAAAAGGACUGUACCAUAGGAGAAAGCUCCGGCUAAAUACGUG
rnacentral:rRNA from 1 species